rnacentral:tRNA from 1 species
GAGAUGUGAUAAUCAAAAGAAAGCUUCUAACUUAUCUUACAGUGGUGCAAUUCCAUUAACAUCUCUCA